rnacentral:rRNA from 1 species
UAGUGGCGAACGGGUGAGUAACACGUGGGCAACCUGCCCCUGACUCUGGGAUAACUCCGGGAAACCGGUGCUAAUACCGGAUACGAGCUUCGACGACAUCGUCGAGGCUGGAAAGUUUUUCGGUCAGGGAUGGGCCCGCGGCCUAUCAGCUAGUUGGUGGGGUAAUGGCCCACCAAGGCGACGACGGGUAGCCGGCCUGAGAGGGCGACCGGCCACACUGGGACUGAGACACGGCCCAGACUCCUACGGGAGGCAGCAGUGGGGAAUAUUGCGCAAUGGGCGAAAGCCUGACGCAGCGACGCCGCGUGAGGGACGACGGCCUUCGGGUUGUAAACCUCUUUCAGCAGGGACGAAGCGAAAGUGACGGUACCUGCAGAAGAAGCACCGGCCAACUACGUGCCAGCAGCCGCGGUAAUACGUAGGGUGCAAGCGUUGUCCGGAAUUAUUGGGCGUAAAGAGCUCGUAGGCGGUUUGUCACGUCGGAUGUGAAAACUCGGGGCUCAACUCCGAGCCUGCAUACGAUA